UAUUAUACUAAUAAAUAUUAAAAGUCUUAAUUAUUAAUAGAUAUUUUCUUUAAAUUUGAAGAAUUUGGCGGUAAUUUAGUCUUGUUAGAGGAACCUGUUUUUGAAUCGAUACACCACGUAAAAUCUUACUUAUCUUAAUAAAAGUUUAUAUACCGUCAUUAACAGAUAAUUUUUAAAAAAUUAAAUUAUUAAAGUUUAUUGUAGAAAUAAAUUAAAUUAGAUCAAGGCGUAGCUAAUAGAUAAGUUAAAAUGGGUUACAAUAAAAUUUAUUUAAAACGAAGCAAAUAAGAGAAAUUAAUUUUGUAGAAGGAGGAUUUAAUUGUAAUAUAAAGUUUAAUAAGCUAAAAAGAUAUAAGCUCUAAAUUAU
rnacentral:rRNA from 1 species